UACGACUACAUAUCAGGCAUAUCAAUAAGCGGAGGAAAAGAAACCUAACAAGGAUUCCCCUAGUAACGGCGAGUGAAGCGGGAAGAGCUCAAAUUUGAAAUCUUAAAGGUUUUACUCUUGACGAAUUGUAGUUUAAAGAAGUGUUUUCUGUUGGAGUUUUCGGUAAAAGUUCUUUGGAAUAGGACAUCAUAGAGGGUGAGAAUCCCGUAUUUGACCAUUACUUUUCAGCUGUGUGAUACACUUUCAAAGAGUCGGAUUGUGUGGGAAUGCAGUCCAAAAUGGGUGGUAAAUUUCAUCUAAAGCUAAAUAUUGGCGAGAGACCGAUAGCGAACAAGUACCGUGAGGGAAAGAUGAAAAGAACUUUGAAAAGAGAGUUAAACAGUACGUGAAAUUGUCAAAAGGGAAGCGUUUGACACCAGUGUUGUUUUCUCGAAAAUCAAUUAAAAAUGGCCGGAUUUUGUGUUGUAUUGACUUUAUCAGCUUUCUGCACUUUUUUCUUGUCUUUUUUAAUGCACUUUUCGUUUAACAAGUCAACAUCAAUUUCUUUUGUUGUAAAAGAGUCAUUGGAAGGUGGCUUUCACUUCGGUGAAAGUGUUUAUAGCCUUUGACUUCUGCAAUCGGAGAGAUUGAGGUCUGCAGCGUAGAUCCUUCGGGGUUAGAUACAUUUGUGCUAAGUUAUAGUUUUUCAUAGACAACAUGUUGACUAUGAUUAAUCAUGUAGCUUACUCGCUUAUGCUAUUUUACCUACGCUUAGGAUGUUGAACGCGCACAGAGUCUC
rnacentral:rRNA from 1 species